rnacentral:rRNA from 1 species
AGAGUUUGAUCCUGGCUCAGGACGAACGCUGGCGGCGUGCCUAAUACAUGCAAGUAGAACGCUGAAGAGAGGAGCUUGCUCUUCUUGGAUGAGUUGCGAACGGGUGAGUAACGCGUAGGUAACCUGCCUUGUAGCGGGGGAUAACUAUUGGAAACGAUAGCUAAUACCGCAUAACAAUGGAUGACACAUGUCAUUUAUUUGAAAGGGGCAAUUGCUCCACUACAAGAUGGACCUGCGUUGUAUUAGCUAGUAGGUGAGGUAACGGCUCACCAAGGCGACGACGGGUAGCCGGCCUGAGAGGGUGACCGGCCACACUGGGACUGAGACACGGCCCAGACUCCUACGGGAGGCAGCAGUAGGGAAUCUUCGGCAAUGGGGGCAACCCUGACCGAGCAACGCCGCGUGAGUGAAGAAGGUUUUCGGAUCGUAAAGCUCUGUUGUAAGUCAAGAACGAGUGUGAGAGUGGAAAGUUCACACUGUGACGGUAGCUUACCAGAAAGGGACGGCUAACUACGUGCCAGCAGCCGCGGUAAUACGUAGGUCCCGAGCGUUGUCCGGAUUUAUUGGGCGUAAAGCGAGCGCAGGCGGUUUGAUAAGUCUGAAGUUAAAGGCUGUGGCUCAACCAUAGUUCGCUUUGGAAACUGUCAAACUUGAGUGCAGAAGGGGAGAGUGGAAUUCCAUGUGUAGCGGUGAAAUGCGUAGAUAUAUGGAGGAACACCGGUGGCGAAAGCGGCUCUCUGGUCUGUAACUGACGCUGAGGCUCGAAAGCGUGGGGAGCGAACAGGAUUAGAUACCCUGGUAGUCCACGCCGUAAACGAUGAGUGCUAGGUGUUGGAU